rnacentral:rRNA from 1 species
UACGUAGGGUGCAAGCGUUAAUCGGAAUUACUGGGCGUAAAGCGUGCGCAGGCGGUUUUGUAAGUCUGACGUGAAAUCCCCGGGCUCAACCUGGGAACUGCAUCUGUGACUGCAUCGCUGGAGUACGGCAGAGGGGGAUGGAAUUCCGCGUGUAGCAGUGAAAUGCGUAGAUAUGCGGAGGAACACCGAUGGCGAAGGCAAUCCCCUGGGCCUGUACUGACGCUCAUGCACGAAAGCGUGGGGAGCGAACAGG